UACGUAGGGCGCAAGCGUUGUCCGGAAUUAUUGGGCGUAAAGAGCUCGUAGGCGGCCUGUUACGUCUGCUGUGAAAUCCCGGGGCUUAACCCCGGGCGUGCAGUGGAUACGGGCAGGCUGGAGGCAGGCAGGGGAGAACGGAAUUCCCGGUGUAGCGGUGAAAUGCGUAGAUAUCAGGAGGAACACCGAUGGCGAAGGCAGGUCUCUGGGCUGACACUGACGCUCAUGCACGAAAGCGUGGGGAGCAAACAGG
rnacentral:rRNA from 1 species